rnacentral:lncRNA from 1 species
CUGCCUCACCUUGCCCUCACUCCAUCCUCCCACCACAUGCCACCCCGCCAUGUCCGCAGUUCAACGUGUCCAGCAGCUGCCUGGUGGCCGGGGCUUCAGUCGUCGCCACCGUGAACGGAGUGCGGACCCGGGUUGGUGCGACCCUGGACAAGGCCCCGGCUGGGCCUGUUGGCUCCGCCGUUCUGCGGCUCACCCAGCUGGGGCUGGACACCACGACCGCCCAGGAUGCGGAGGUGUGCCUCACCCUCAAGACCAACCGUGGAGGCCAGGGCUGCACCACCCUGGAGCAACUGUGCUCG